UUGAUUGUAGUCAGUUCAUUUUCUGUGUUUGUUCAUGUUUCCACUAAAUACUUUAAAGUAAUGUAUAGUUCAGGUUUUGGAUGAUUUUGAUGAUACAGUUUUUGAUAUUUUAUUUCCAGUGUAGUUUGAUAUAUUUCAGCUCAUUCUGUAUGAUGAUUCUCUCUGUGCUGAUAUGCAUGAGAGGCUUCUUAAAGGGAAGUGAAACAAUGUGUGAGUGAGUGACUGGUGGAGCAGAAAAACCAUCUGACAGAAACUCCUUAAAGGAGAAAAUCAACUCUCACACAGUAAAGGUGUCCAAGUGUCUGCUGCUUGAUUGACAGCUGUGUGGUCCCUGUCCUCUAAGCUGAUUGGUGUCUCCUAGGUGAUGUCCGUCCCACCCUGACGGUGCUGCCCCCCUCCAGUGAGGAGCUGCAGCAGGGGAAGGCCACGCUCAUGUGUCUGGCCAACAAGGGCUUCCCCUCAGACUGGAGUCUGUCCUGGAAGGUGGACGGCAGCAGCAGCAGCAGCAGCAGCAGCAGCUGGGAGGAGAGCAGGAGCCCCGGGGUGCUGAAGGACGGCCACUACAGCUGGAGCAGCACCCUGAGGCUCUCUGCAGACCACUGGAGGAAGGUGGGCUCUGUGACCUGUGAGGCCACCCAGGGCUCCCAGACUCCGCUCUCAGAGACACUGAGGAGAGACCAGUGUUCCCAGUUCUGACCUGACUCACUGGGACUCUGAUACUGGUUUCACUCUGCUACUGCUCUCUGCCUUUUUCUUUUUCUCAUUACAUAUUUGAACAAUAAUGUGUUUUCAGCUCAAUAAUAUUCCUAUGAGACAGUACAACUUCACCAAAGGACUCGACAUGAAAAGUCAGCAGAAUUAACACAUUGUCAUCUUUCACUGCUUGCUGUAAUACUGAUGUUCCAUUAAAGAAUAAAAAUAUAUUCAUCCGA